GCCAGAGUGAUGUAGUGGUUUGAGUGUUGGACUAAGACUCUGGGAGACCAGGGUUCGAAUCCUGGCUCAGCCA